UACGAAGGGGGCUAGCGUUGCUCGGAAUCACUGGGCGUAAAGCGCACGUAGGCGGAUCGUUAAGUCAGGGGUGAAAUCCUGGAGCUCAACUCCAGAACUGCCUUUGAUACUGGCGAUCUUGAGUUCGGGAGAGGUGAGUGGAACUGCGAGUGUAGAGGUGAAAUUCGUAGAUAUUCGCAAGAACACCAGUGGCGAAGGCGGCUUACUGGUCCGGUUCUGACGCUGAGGCGCGAAAGCGUGGGGAGCAAACAGG
rnacentral:rRNA from 1 species